AGUAAAACCAUGCAGACAAAGUAUACAAGUGAAAGUAUACAGUACAGGCAUGCAAACAGUAUGGAACAUACAUAUAACCACAUGAACCUCAAUAUAAAGUGCUCAUAAUAUGAAACCAUAUAUAAAUGUAACCACAGGCGUACUGACCUAGAGCAGGAGAUAAGUACCCCGACGUUUCGGCACACAGCCUUCCUCAAGGGGAAUCUCCCUUGAGGAAGGCUGUGUGAUGAAACGUCGGGGUAUUUAUCUCCUGCUCUAGGUCUAAGUAGUGCCAGAUCACCCUUUAUGCAAAUUGGAUUUAGGCUGUGGCAGGUGAGUUUAGGCAGAAAUAGACAAGUAACUCUAUCCACGACUUUUGGUGUGAGAUGACGGUUUAGGAAGAGGUGUUCUGUGAGCUAGCAAGGUACUAGGCCAGUGAUGGUGAACAUUUUUGAGCCCAAGUGCCCAAACUGCAAUACAUUUGCAACUUUUUUCUCCUCAAAGUUCCAACACUGCAAUUACACCUGAAUACUGAGGUUUAAGUUUAGAAAAAUCAACUCGUACAGUUGUCCGAACUAAUUAACAUCUUUUGUUUUAAAAGAACACAACAGACAGAGUUCAAUGAUACAAAUUUUAAAUAAUGAUAUAAAUAGAUAAAAUUAAGCUUAUAUUUAUUAGUAUCUCCAACAAAUGCAAUACAUACACACAGACUGCUGAACACAUUCACACACCGACUGCUUAAUACAUACACACGACACACACACUGACUACUUAAUACAUACACCCACCAACACACAGACUGACUGCUAAAUACAUACACACAGUCCGCUAAAUACACACACAAACAUACACACACAGUCCGCUGAAUACACACACACACAGAUUGCUGAGUACACACAGUCUGCUGAAUACAUACACACAGUCUGCUGAAUACACACACACACUGCUGAAUACAUAAAGACUGCUGAAUACACACAUACAUAUACUGCAUUGAGGGGUGCAGUGUAUGUGUUUGUGUGUAAGGGUGUGGAGUAUGUGUGGGAGGGGGGUGUGUGUGUGUGAGGUGCUGUGUUGUGUGUGAGGUGCUUUGUUGUGUGUGUGUGGGGGGAUAGGAGUUCUGUGUGUCAGGGGGUAGGGGUGCUGUGUGUGGGGGGUAGGGGUUCUGUGUGUCGGGUAGGAGGUGCUGUGUGUGUGG